rnacentral:lncRNA from 1 species
AACAUAGCUUCUAGGGAUAUAUGCAGAUUAUGUGAAUGGAUGUUGGUUGCUGGUAUUUUUUAACUGUAAUAAGCGCAAAUGCCAGGCAGAGGAAAGAAAUUAUGAUAUGAGAGGAGAGGAGAUGAUGAUGAAAGGGUGUUUCUCCUUUUAAUGUUUAUUUAUUUUGUUUGUUUGAAAUGGUCAGAAGACUUACUCAGUAAAUUUGUUCCAUAUGUUCAGUCCUGACCAGAUCAAAUAAUUCCAAACCAAAACUGUGAUAAAGGCAAUAGAAGUAAGCAAUUAUAUAUGACAAGUUGCUCUAUUAUGGCUUUGUGUAAGCAUGAUUUGGAGUUCAGCAUUUUUUGAGAUAACAAUUAAAAAUUUCUUAUACUUUGGCAUAGUCUACUUUCCAUACACUUAUUAGUGGAUGAUGGUUAGGGGAAAGCUGAUUAUUGCAUACAUUGUAGCAAAGCUAAACAGUAGAUAUUUGGCUUGAUAUAAGUAACUAGUGAAUUCCAAUUGAUUCCCUUAUAGGUAAUGGACGGCAUGUGCCACAAAAGCCUCCUAGAGGCAACACGCGUGGUUCACCCCAGUUAGUGAUUCCCCCACCCCCACCAUACCCUCCUCCAGACACAGAUACUAUGGACCCAACUGUAUUGUACAGUGAAGCAGAUGUUACAGACUCAACCAAGCUGGUACCUAAACUUUAUUGUUGUGCAUCAUUCCCUUCACGUUCCAAGCCCGUCUGACACAGUUUUCUCCUUCCUCUGGUCUCCAUACUUCUGAAACCUGUUGCCUCUACUACCCUAGCUCUCUUUAUGUUGCCUUUUCCCUUCCAUAUGGGAAGAAGUUCAUUUUCCUCUGAAUUGGAUCUUUCUGUCUCUUUCUUCUGAACUUGCACAUGUUCAUUUAGUAUACAGAAAAGUUUUCAGCUAAAAUUCAUUCACAUAUGUGAGACUAAUUCUCUGUAGGACUAUAAAGAAAUUGUUGUAACCUGUUCAGUAUAAUGUUGAUUCAAAAUGAUGAAUUAUUUGUAAGCUUAAUAGAACUAGAAUUUAGUUUGAUUAAGAUGUUAAAGUUUUUCAUACAUGCAACUGUUUGCUGAAAACACAGUCUUUUCUGUGUAUUUUUGUUUGUUUAUUUGUUUCUCUUUUGGCUUAUAAGGCAGUACUUUUCCAAACACAUGAGAUAUUUUCUUUAUUCAUAUUGUUCUGUGCCAUUUGAAUGAACCAGCAUUUGGGUGUGCCUUAAUCAAAGCUAAAAUACAAGGUGCCUUCCAUUGGUUUCCCCACAAAUAAUAAGCAAUUUAAAGAGCAGUUCUCUACAUGUCUACCCAGAAGUAAGCUCCACUGAAUUUAAUUGGACUUAUCUACAAGUAAAAGUG